GACGAACGCUGGCGGCGUGCCUAAUACAUGCAAGUCGAGCGCGGGAAGCAAGCAAUCACCCUUCGGGGUGAGCGCUUGUGGAACGAGCGGCGGACGGGUGAGUAACACGUGGGCAACCUGCCUGUGAGACUGGGAUAACCCCGGGAAACCGGGGCUAAUACCGGAUAGCUCUUUUCUUUGCAUAAAGAGAAGAUGAAAGGCGGCUUUUAGCUGUCACUCACAGAUGGGCCCGCGGCGCAUUAGCUGGUUGGUGGGGUAAUGGCCCACCAAGGCGAGGAUGCGUAGCGGACCUGAGAGGGUGAUCGGCCACACUGGGACUGAGACACGGACCAGACUCCUACGGGGGGCAGCAGUAGGGAAUCAUCCGCAAUGGACGAAAGUCUGACGGUGCAACGCCGCGUGAGUGAUGAAGGUUUUCGGAUCGUAAAACUCUGUUGUCAGGGAAGAACACGUGCCGUUUGAAGAAGGCGGUGCAUUGACGGUACCUGACCAGAAAGCCCCGGCUAACUACGUGCCAGCAGCCGCCGUAAAAC
rnacentral:rRNA from 1 species